GACGAACGCUGGCGGCGUGCUUAACACAUGCAAGUCGAACGGAAAGGCCCUGCUUUUGUGGGGUGCUCGAGUGGCGAACGGGUGAGUAACACGUGAGUAACCUGCCCUUGACUUUGGGAUAACUUCAGGAAACUGGGGCUAAUACCGGAUAGGAGCUCCUGCUGCAUGGUGGGGGUUGGAAAGUUUCGGCGGUUGGGGAUGGACUCGCGGCUUAUCAGCUUGUUGGUGGGGUAGUGGCUUACCAAGGCUUUGACGGGUAGCCGGCCUGAGAGGGUGACCGGCCACAUUGGGACUGAGAUACGGCCCAGACUCCUACGGGAGGCAGCAGUGGGAAUAUUGCACAAUGGGCGGAAGCCUGAUGCAGCAACGCCGCGUGCGGGAUGACGGCCUUCGGGUUGUAAACCGCUUUCGCCUGUGACGAAGCGUGAGUGACGGUAAUGGGUAAAGAAGCACCGGCUAACUACGUGCCAGCAGCCGCGGUGAUACGUAGGGUGCGAGCGUUGUCCGGAUUUAUUGGGCGUAAAGGGCUCGUAGGUGGUUGAUCGCGUCGGAAGUGUAAUCUUGGGGCUUAACCCUGAGCGUGCUUUCGAUACGGGUUGACUUGAGGAAGGUAGGGGAGAAUGGAAUUCCUGGUGGAGCGGUGGAAUGCGCAGAUAUCAGGAGGAACACCAGUGGCGAAGGCGGUUCUCUGGGCCUUUCCUGACGCUGAGGAGCGAAAGCGUGGGGAGCGAACAGGCUUAGAUACCCUGGUAGUCCACGCUGUAAACGGUGGGUACUAGGUGUGGGGUCCAUUCCACGGGUUCCGUGCCGUAGCUAACGCUUUAAGUACCCCGCCUGGGGAGUACGGCCGCAAGGCUAAAACUCAAAGGAAUUGACGGGGCCCCGCACAAGCGGCGGAGCAUGCGGAUUAAUUCGAUGCAACGCGUAGAACCUUACCUGGGUUUGACAUGGAUCGGAAGCGCUCAGAGAUGGGUGUGCCUCUUUUGGGGUCGGUUCACAGGUGGUGCAUGGCUGUCGUCAGCUCGUGUCGUGAGAUGUUGGGUUAAGUCCCGCAACGAGCGCAACCCUUGUUCACUGUUGCCAGCACGUUAUGGUGGGGACUCAGUGGAGACCGCCGGGGUCAACUCGGAGGAAGGUGGGGAUGACGUCAAGUCAUCAUGCCCCUUAUGUCCAGGGCUUCACGCAUGCUACAAUGGCUGGUACAGAGAGUGGCGAGCCUGUGAGGGUGAGCGAAUCUCGGAAAGCCGGUCUCAGUUCGGAUUGGGGUCUGCAACUCGACCUCAUGAAGUCGGAGUCGCUAGUAAUCGCAGAUCAGCAACGCUGCGGUGAAUACGUUCCCGGG
rnacentral:rRNA from 1 species